rnacentral:sRNA from 1 species
UCAAUCUUAAGAUUAACUCCGAUGAGUGA